rnacentral:lncRNA from 1 species
CCAUAUAUUUCGUAUAUGUAUUACGGCAACCAGGAUUUCAUAUCUGAAUUACAUCAUAGUACAACAUUAGAUAGCUUCAGCACCCAGUUACAUCAUAUAGGCAUAUACCUAGCUACGACAUUACACAAGAGCACCAAAUUUCACAUGCUACAUCUAAAACCUUUAAAGUGUAGCAUCAUAUACGGUAAAUAGACAGAUGAAUCUCAUCUGGAAAACUGUUGAAUCUGAAAGCGAAUAUUGAGCCUUUAGUGAUGUUGAAUGUCUUUGUAACUUUAAGCCACUAGUUGUGGAUGAUUGCCCGCCCAACCUUCGUCCUCUUGAGGAAGACUUCAAUAUUGUACCGUGGGUGUUGAAUGAAUACCUUCAUCAUAUCUUCAGCAUGCAGGUGGUUUGAGAGGUAAUCAUUCAUGAACUACUUUGUAACUGACUGAAAACAAAGAUAUGCAUAAAUAUAUGUUCUAAAUUUUGGAAUGGCGCAGAGGGAAAAAAGUAGGUAAAAGAGUUAGUACCAUCCUACAGUUGGCACAUGUCUUCUUCAUUGUGCAAACAAAGAUCUUGUCGUUAUUCAUUACUAAUUUAUUUAUCCUAACAAUCUUUUUGAGUUUCUUGACUUGACUAAUAUUCAUAGACAAGCAUUUCCCCAUAUGAAAAAUGGAUCAAACAAUGGGUAUAAACCUCUAAUUGUAGAACCUACAUAUGAAAGACCAAAAAUUUAAAAACCUAGAUAUUAGAAUGGUUGAUGCAAUUGCAUAAUAAUGUGCUAUUAGCCAAAGGACCAUGCAUGUGCAAACCUCGAUGGUAAACCUAAGUGCAUCCAAUUGUUUCCCUUCAACACAUAUAAGGUAGUUAUUGACCAGUUUAAGUGAGAGUUGGCAUAUUAUAAGUAAAAUAUGUUGAUGAAAAAAACACAUUGCAGAUCCAACACAUUAAUUUGAGCCACAUGGAAAAGCCACUUAUCCACACCAAGAAUUCUUAAGAACUAGGAAAUAUAGCAAUUGUAUAUGGUUCUCAUGUACUUAGUAUAGCCAAACUCGAUUUGUUUCUCACCACAUAAAAAUACAAAAGUUGUAUCCACAAGAAUUGAACAUCGCAUUUCAAAAUGGAACCAAAAAGUUAACUAAACAUCACAACAAAUGAACCAAAUAGUGAAGUGAGCACCACAUUGCGCAUUAUAUAUAUCGUAUAUAUACUAGAAGAUAAGAUUGUAUAUUAACAUCACAUGAAGGCACCAGUGAUGGACUCAAGAAAACACCACAAACUAUCAUUUAAAGUAGCCAACCGCAUGGCAGUGGCCGCGUGUGAGGUGUGGCCUCUAUGGUGAGGUGCUCCUCCAAGAUCUGGCGGUCGACACGCAUGGCGGCCCUUGCCACCUCAUCUGUGCAUGCGUCCGUGAGUUGCUUCUCUGCUCCUAGAUUCUCCUUGAGCUUCUGGCUAUAUUGUGUGCACCAUGCUUUAAGGUGGCGCUUAUUUGGAGGAUAGGAUGGUGAUUUGGAUUGAAAGUGUCGCGUCAGUUGUCGGGGCAUGUGGGGUGGAGAAGGAGGAGGAGAAGGAGGAGGAUGUGGGUGGGGUGUGGAUUACAUCACAAGAUCAACGAGGUUGUGCGGCAGGAAGGAGCAUCACUGCAAGCAAGGAGUGCAUGUUUGAGCUUGGAAAGCAAGGAGGAAAUAAUAGAAAUGUGGAUUUUGGUAGGGGUGAGGUAGAUAUUUUCUGCGUUUGCUGAAAUUUUUCGCUUGGUGUUGUGAAAAACUAGCACAAGUGUGGUUAACGAGCGGACAAUGGAUUGUAGCCGAUCAAGCUUCUAGAGUAAGCGAGGCCCAAUAUAUUUUAUGCUGCAUCACACAUGAUUCGUGCUAAUAAACUUUUUGAGGUGUACUUGAUUUUUCAUUUUGAAUUGAAAGAAAAGCGGGGUUAUUAUGCAAAAGGAGAGUUUUUGAAUUACUAGAACAUUUAUCUUCGGGGAAACAUGCAACUAUAGGAGUGUCAUGUUAAAAUACGGAAUUGUUUAGGGUAUGUUUGGACAUUUUUAUAUAUUAACUGAGUUUUCUAGAAUUUUAGUGUGCAUAGUUCACAUUUGGCAACAGGCAAAUGCUCUAGUGUAGCAAAAUGGGUUGAAAAUCAUAUAUGUGUCCCUCGGUGUAUGUUUAGUUCCCAUGCAAAAAAUGGGAAUGGAUUUAAAAUACAUUGAUGUCGUGGAUCAGCCUCAAACAUUGAGAAGCUUGGUUUUUAAAUUCCUGUAAAUCCAAAACUCGUCUGAAAUUCAUGAAAUUUUGCAUGGUGUAAUGAAAUGGCACUAAUAUGUUGUGGUAAAUAUUUUGUCCAAUUUGGGACAAGUUUGGGUAUAAACUUCUUACAAACCAGAGCUUCUCACUAGAAACCUCGUGGUUCCGAUAAGGAAUGUGUCACCUUUGUGGAUCAAACGACAUUCGUUGCCUUUUCUCGCCUGGAAUAUUUUUCGACAGGUAACAUGAAUUAGUAGGAGUGUUGUGUUAAAAUUUGGCAUUAUUCAGGGUUCAUUUGGACAUUUUAUAUAUUAAUAGAGUUGUAUAGUCAUUUAGUAUGCAUAAUUUAAAUUUGAACUACACGCACAUGCUCAACUGCACCAAAAUGGGUUAAAAACAUAUAUGUGUCCUUGGGUGCAUAUUUAGUUCCCACGCAAGAAAUGUGAAUGAAUUUCAAACACCUCGGCGUCGUGGAUUGCCCGCAAACAUUGAGAAGUUUGGUUUUUAAAUUCAUGUAAAUCCAAAACUCGUCUAACAUUCCUGAAACUUGGUAUGGUGUCAUGAAAUGUCACCAACAUUAUAUGGUAAUUUUUUUGUCCAAUUUGGGACAAGUUUUGGCAUAAACUUCUUACAAACCACAGCUUCUCACUAGAAGCCUCAUGAUUUUGAUGGGGAACGUGUAACCUUUGUGGAUGAAACGACAUUCGUUAUCUCUUGUUGCCUUGAAUAUCUUUAUAGAGGCAACGAGGAUUAGUAGGAGUGUCGUGUUAAAAUUUGGAAUUAUUCAAGGUUUGUUUGGACAGUUUUAUACAUUAACUGAGUUUUCUAGGCAUUUAGUGUGCAUAAUUCAAAUUUGAACUACAUGCACAUGCUCCGGUAUACCAAAAUGGGUUGAAAAUCAUAUAUGUGCCCCUCGGUGCAUGUCUAGUUCCCGUGCAAGAAAUGGGAAUGAAUCUCAAACACCUCGAUGUCAUUGAUCGGCCGCAAACAUUAAGAACCUUGGUUUUUAAAUUCAUGUAAAUACAAAACUUGUAUGACAUUCAUGAAACUUAGCAUGGUGUCAUGAAAUGGUACCAACAUGAUGUGGUAAGAAAUUUGUCCAAUUUGGGACAAGUUUUGAUAUAAGCUUCUUACAAACCAGAGCUUCUCACUAGAAGCCUCGUGGUUCCAAUAGGGAACGUAUCAUCUUUAUCGAAGAAACCAUAUUCGUUGUCUAUUCUCUCCUUGAAUAUUAUUCGAGAGGCAACAUGGAUUAAUAGGAGUGUCGUGUUAAAAUUUAGAAUUAUUCAGGGUUCGUUUGGACUUUUUAUACAUUAACUGAGUUUUCUAGGCAUUUAGUGUGCAUAACUCAAAUUUGAACUACAUGCAAAUGCUCGAAUGCACCAAAAUGAGUUCAAAAAUCAUAUAUGUGUUUGUGGGUGCAUGGUUAGGUCCUACUCAAGAAAUAAGAAUGAAUUUCAAAAUAGAUGCCACAUUAACAGCCAACGUAGGUAUUUUGGAACAACUAGCUGCCAACUUAAUAUUGCAACCGGAUGUCUUAUUUGAAUCAUGUGCGUUGUACUAACCGCUUAUGUGCCUCCACGUGUCCCUCUUAUUUAUUUUCUAGGAGGUAUUAUGGGGGCAGGUUUGAUUAGGCAUGAUGCGAUGCGAGUAGUCCAUCGUGCAUACUCAGCAUGAGGCGUGCAACCACUCCAUCGUGCAGCCUGACCAGGAUGCGUGCAAGGAGUCUAUCGCGCAACUAGCUCAUCAAGAAUCGAGUCAUUUGACCUCCACCCUCGGCCCACAUCGCUUCCAACUUCUCCAUUAAUGCUCCUCCUACUCCUCUGUUCUUAUCUAUAAGAGUCGCCAUCAAGGAUCACCUACCUCUCCGAUGAAGGACGAGGCAGGCAACAAGCAGGGGCGGGUCGAUCCAGUACCGCAAGAACCUUCGGGAGGUGUGGAAUUCAUCAGAAGCCUCCCCGGUGAGAUAUUGGCAACCAUCAUGUCCCUCCUCCCCAUCAAAUUUGUCAUGCGGGUCACCGCCUCCCCCAGCGGUGGCGCCUCUUUGUCACUCCACCCCUGGACCUCAUCAACGAUGAUGAGCUCUGCAACAGAGAUCGCAAACGCUUGGAUGGAUUGCCCCACAUCCUUGCCUCGAACAUUGGGCCAGUCAGAUGCCUUGCCAUCAUCAAUUUCUAUUCCAACUGCAAGGUCGAACCCAAGUUUCACGAGUGGUUCUUAUCCCCCGUCCUAGAUCACCUCAAGGAGCUUAGAUUUGAAGGUGGGCAUGUGCGCUCGUUGCCACCAUCCGUGCUCCGCCUCGCCAUGGGAUAAGCAUAUAAAACAUAUAUAAUUUCAGAUUUAUGAUAUUGAAUUCAUUCAACCAUUUACUCAUAGGAUAUAAGUGAAGCACGAAAGUAAAUGACAAAACUACUCCAAAACAUAUAAGUGAAGAUAAAUGAGUAGUCAAACAAUUAAGUAGCUAUGUGAGGACUUUAUCUCUCUCUCUUAAUAAAGAUUUUCAUAUCCAAAGCGUUUAUUGAAACAGAAAAACAAAAUAAAAGUGGCACUCCAAGAAUAGCACGCAACAUGUGAAGGAAUAAAAAAUUAGGCUCAACAUAGGCUAACCGAUAAUUGUUGAUGAAGAGAGGUGGGAUGCGUAGCAUCCCCGAGUUAGAUG